UCGAACCCUGCAAGGCAGAACGACCCGUGAACAUGUAACCACAACGGGGUGACAUGGAAAUGGGCCUUGGUCCUGAUCCCCUAACCCCUUCCGACAUGCAUUAGUGGUGCCUUAUUUUUGGGGCACCAUUGAUGUCUUGUCGGACCAUAACCAACCCCGGCACGGAAUGUGCCAAGGAAAACAAAAAUUGAAAAGGACACGUUCUAUAUCGCCCCGUUCGCGGUGUGCGUGCAGAUCGUGGCCUCCUUGGAAUCACAAACGACUCUCGGCAACGGAUAUCUCGGCUCACCCAUCGAUGAAAAACGUACCAAAAUGCAAUACUUGGUGUGAAUUGCAGAAUCCCGUGAACCAUCGAGUUUUUGAACGCAAGUUGCGCCCGAAGCCAUCCGGUUGAGGGCACGCCUGCCUGGGCGUCACGCCUCGCGUCGCUCCCCACCAUACUUCCCCAACGGGUAGUUAUGUUAUUGGGGGCGGAUAAUGGCCUCCCGUGCAUGUGUUUCGGUUGGCCUAAAUAGGAGUUCCCUUCGGCGGACGCACGACUAGUGGUGGUUGAACAGACCCUCGUCUUGUGUUGUGUGUCGUGAGCUGUGAGGGAAGCCCUCAUUAAAGACCCCAUUGUAUCGUCUCUCGACGAUGCUUCGAC
rnacentral:misc_RNA from 1 species